AGGGAAAAGCUCAAAUUUUGAAUCUGGUACCUUUGGUGCCCGAAUUGUAAUCUAGAGAAGUGUUUUCUGUGUCGGACCGUGCACAAGUCCCCUGGAACGGGGCGUCAUAGAGGGUGAGAAUCCCGUAUGUGGCAUGGAUCCCGAUACUCUGUGAUACACUCUCAAC
rnacentral:rRNA from 1 species